AGUGAACGCUGGCGGUAGGCCUAACACAUGCAAGUCGAACGGCAGCACAGGAGAGCUUGCUCUCUGGGUGGCGAGUGGCGGACGGGUGAGGAAUACAUCGGAAUCUACUUUUUCGUGGGGGAUAACGUAGGGAAACUUACGCUAAUACCGCAUACGACCUACGGGUGAAAGCAGGGGACCUUCGGGCCUUGCGCGAUUGAAUGAGCCGAUGUCGGAUUAGCUAGUUGGCGGGGUAAAGGCCCACCAAGGCGACGAUCCGUAGCUGGUCGUGAGAGGAUGAUCAGCCACACUGGAACUGAGACACGGUCCAGACUCCUACGGGAGGCAGCAGUGGGGAAUAUUGGACAAUGGGCGCAAGCCUGAUCCAGCCAUACCGCGUGGGUGAAGAAGGCCUUCGGGUUGUAAAGCCCUUUUGUUGGGAAAGAAAUCAAGCUGGCUAAUACCCGGUUGGGAUGACGGUACCCAAAGAAUAAGCACCGGCUAACUUCGUGCCAGCCGCCGCCGUAA
rnacentral:rRNA from 1 species